rnacentral:rRNA from 1 species
GAGGAUCCGAGCGUUAUCCGGAUUUAUUGGGUUUAAAGGGAGCGUAGAUGGGGUUUUAAGUCAGUUGUGAAAGUUUGCGGCUCAACCGUAAAAUUGCAGUUGAUACUGGAGUCCUUGAGUGCAGUUGAGGUAAGCGGAAUUCGUGGUGUAGCGGUGAAAUGCUUAGAUAUCACGAAGAACUCCUAUUGCGAAGGCAGCUUACUAACCUGCUACUGACAUUGAGGCUCGAAAGUGUGGGUAUCAAA